GUUGUAAUUCAACUACAAAAACA
rnacentral:tRNA from 1 species